AAAAGGGGGGGAAAGAAAGAAAGAGAAAAAGGAGGGCGAGUGGCGAGCAGGGGCCUCGGCCGCCACCCACACGCCCCGAAGCGUGCUCGUCCCCCGCGCGGGGCUCCCGGCCGCCGCCCUCGGCCAUCGGCUGCUCCCCGGUGGCCCAGGCCUCGGACUCCGCGGCCGGCCCGGCGCGGCCCAGCGCCCUCAGGUGUAUACCAAGGACUGGAAUUGAUGGGCCAAGCUUUGUGUUUUAAGGAAAAAAAAAUCAUGUUUUAGUUUCGUGCUGGUAAUUUGAAGUAAGCAGAUGUCUAGAUAUAAGCUUGGAAACUGGCCAGUUGGAGAUUGCUCACGGCUGCAAUUGAAGACUCCAGCAGCCUCUUCUCCUCUUUGCUUCCAUUUGGAGAGGAAGGCGUCAUAGGCUGUGUGACUUCCGUGGACGCGGGGCUUGGCACCGGCUUGCAGUUGGGAUCAAUCUUCAGUGGCGGUUUGGAGUGGGUCACGGUUCUUCCUGCUUGCCUUCCAGUUUAGUCCCUGACGUCUGCUCCCCAGGGCCCUGGCUCUUCCCCCACGCCUUCAGCCUGCACAGUCCCUUCUCUCAUUCUCAGGCUGCAGAACCUGGAAGUACAGUUGUCCCCCCUUACCCGCUGUUUCAGUUACCUGAGGUCAACCGUGGUCUGAAAAUACUACAUGGAAAAUUCCGGAAAUAAACAAUUCGUAAGUUUUAAAUUGCACGCUGUGAUGAAAUCUCGCGCUGUGCAGCCUGGGCAGUGAAUCGUCCCCUUUGUUCAGCGUCCCCACGCUGUGGACGCUCCACACCCAUAGUCACUUAGUAGCUGG
rnacentral:lncRNA from 1 species